UGUUGCGGUUAAAACGUUCGUAGUUGAAUUUGUGUCCCACACGGGUAAUUGGCCCACUUACGGGUUCUUAUUACUUGCCGGCUUGCUGGCUUUAGUGUGCGGACGUUUUACCGGUGAGGGAAACGGUGUAGUUUCGGCUGCAAUACGCCCCUUAUUUAUUUCAUAAACCCGUCUUGGUGCUUUUAAUCGAGUGCCAAUGUGGGCCGGUACUAUUACUUUGAACAAAUUAGAGUGCUUAAAGCAGGCUAAAUUUAAUGAAAGUUAAAACGCCUGAAUAUAUUUUGCAUGGAAUAAUGGAAUAGGACCUCUGUUCUACUUUCAUUGGUUUUUAGACCAAGAGGUAAUGAUUAAUAGAAGCAGUUGGGGGCAUUAGUAUUACGAGGCGAGAGGUGAAAUUCGUAGACCCUCGUAAGACUAACUUAAGCGAAAGCAUUUGCCAAGGAUGUUUUCAUUAAUCAAGAACGAAAGUUAGAGGAUCGAAGGCGAUCAGAUACCGCCCUAGUUCUAACCAUAAACGAUGCCAGCUAGCAAUUGUAUGUAGCUACUAAUUUUGGUUCAUACAGUCGCUUUCCGGGAAACCAAAGCUUUUGGGCUCCGGGGGAAGUAUGGUUGCAAAGCUGAAACUUA
rnacentral:rRNA from 1 species